UGAACACUGAGCUACUCAAGGGAAAAACUGAAAUGCUGGAGGAGUAUUUAUGCAUUUAUGUUGAUCCACAAGGGAAUUUGUCCAGGAUUCCUGUCAUACUUGAUCAGAUCGUGUUCCAGAAUUUGUUCUUUGUCCAGGCAAUGAUCUACCAAUCUGUUCAAGAUUCUUCUCAAGUAUAGGCCAAAGGAUAAAGCUGCAAAGGAGGAGCAUAUUCUGGAGAAGGCUCAUCUUGAUCGAGGCUGAAGGAAAGAGUCCAGAGUCCAGCAAUAAAUCCAUAGUUGGGAAAAAGGUGAAGCGGUUCACGAGAGACCUGCUGAAUUGAAACUGUAUGGUGGUGUUAAUAGUUUUGGAUAGUGCUCAAGAAUCCAUAGUCGACUGCAAGGCCUUACACCAGACUUUGAUGCUUUGAAUGUUGCAAUCAAGAUCGGAAUUAUCUAAACUCUGUAUUUUGAUUUAUCUUGUUAGAAACACAAUUACAGUUUAAUGCUCAGAAUUAUUAAGAAAAAGUAAUGGAGGCUAGUGUACCUAGUACCAACGUA